rnacentral:rRNA from 1 species
UGGGGAAUUUUGGACAAUGGGCGCAAGCCUGAUCCAGCCAUGCCGCGUGCGGGAAGAAGGCCUUCGGGUUGUAAACCGCUUUUGUCAGGGAAGAAAUCUUCUGAGUUAAUACCUCGGGAGGAUGACGGUACCUGAAGAAUAAGCACCGGCUAACUACGUGCCAGCAGCCGCGGUAAUACGUAGGGUGCAAGCGUUAAUCGGAAUUACUGGGCGUAAAGCGUGCGCAGGCGGUUUUGUAAGACAGAGGUGAAAUCCCCGGGCUCAACCUGGGAACUGCCUUUGUGACUGCAAGGCUUGAGUGCGGCAGAGGGGGGAUGGAAUUCCGCGUGUAGCAGUGAAAUGCGUAGAUAUGCGGAGGAACACCGAUGGCGAAGGCAAUCCCCUGGGCCUGCACUGACGCUCAUGCACGAAAGCGUGGGGAGCAAACAGGAUUAGAUACCCUGGUAGUCCACGCCCUAAACGAUGUCAACUGGUUGUUGGGAAGGUUCCUUCUCAGUAACGUAGCUAACGCGUGAAGUUGACCGCCUGGGGAGUACGGCCGCAAGGUUGAAACUCAAAGGAA